GUGACUGCGUACCUUUUGUAUAAUGGGUCAGCGACUUAUAUUCUGUAGCAAGGUUAACCGAAUAGGGGAGCCGAAGGGAAACCGAGUCUUAACUGGGCGUUAAGUUGCAGGGUAUAGACCCGAAACCCGGUGAUCUAGCCAUGGGCAGGUUGAAGGUUGGGUAACACUAACUGGAGGACCGAACCGACUAAUGUUGAAAAAUUAGCGGAUGACUUGUGGCUGGGGGUGAAAGGCCAAUCAAACCGGGAGAUAGCUGGUUCUCCCCGAAAGCUAUUUAGGUAGCGCCUCGUGAAUUCAUCUCCGGGGGUAGAGCACUGUUUCGGCAAGGGGGUCAUCCCGACUUACCAACCCGAUGCAAACUGCGAAUACCGGAGAAUGUUAUCACGGGAGACACACGGCGGGUGCUAACGUCCGUCGUGAAGAGGGAAACAACCCAGACCGCCAGCUAAGGUCCCAAAGUCAUGGUUAAGUGGGAAACGAUGUGGGAAGGCCCAGACAGCCAGGAUGUUGGCUUAGAAGCAGCCAUCAUUUAAAGAAAGCGUAAUAGCUCACUGGUCGAGUCGGCCUGCGCGGAAGAUGUAACGGGGCUAAACCAUGCACCGAAGCUGCGGCAGCGACGCUUAUGCGUUGUUGGGUAGGGGAGCGUUCUGUAAGCCUGUGAAGGUGUGCUGUGAGGCAUGCUGGAGGUAUCAGAAGUGCGAAUGCUGACAUAAGUAACGAUAAAGCGGGUGAAAAGCCCGCUCGCCGGAAGACCAAGGGUUCCUGUCCAACGUUAAUCGGGGCAGGGUGAGUCGACCCCUAAGGCGAGGCCGAAAGGCGUAGUCGAUGGGAAACAGGUUAAUAUUCCUGUACUUGGUGUUACUGCGAAGGGGGGACGGAGAAGGCUAUGUUGGCCGGGCGACGGUUGUCCCGGUUUAAGCGUGUAGGCUGGUUUUCCAGGCAAAUCCGGAAAAUCAAGGCUGAGGCGUGAUGACGAGGCACUACGGUGCUGAAGCAACAAAUGCCCUGCUUCCAGGAAAAGCCUCUAAGCAUCAGGUAACAUCAAAUCGUACCCCAAACCGACACAGGUGGUCAGGUAGAGAAUACCAAGGCGCUUGAGAGAACUCGGGUGAAGGAACUAGGCAAAAUGGUGCCGUAACUUCGGGAGAAGGCACGCUGAUAUGUAGGUGAAGUCCCUCGCGGAUGGAGCUGAAAUCAGUCGAAGAUACCAGCUGGCUGCAACUGUUUAUUAAAAACACAGCACUGUGCAAACACGAAAGUGGACGUAUACGGUGUGACGCCUGCCCGGUGCCGGAAGGUUAAUUGAUGGGGUCAGCGCAAGCGAAGCUCUUGAUCGAAGCCCCGGUAAACGGCGGCCGUAACUAUAACGGUCCUAAGGUAGCGAAAUUCCUUGUCGGGUAAGUUCCGACCUGCACGAAUGGCGUAAUGAUGGCCAGGCUGUCUCCACCCGAGACUCAGUGAAAUUGAACUCGCUGUGAAGAUGCAGUGUACCCGCGGCAAGACGGAAAGACCCCGUGAACCUUUACUAUAGCUUGACACUGAACAUUGAGCCUUGAUGUGUAGGAUAGGUGGGAGGCUUAGAAGUGUGGACGCCAGUCUGCAUGGAGCCGACCUUGAAAUACCACCCUUUAAUGUUUGAUGUUCUAACGUUGACCCGUAAUCCGGGUUGCGGACAGUGUCUGGUGGGUAGUUUGACUGGGGCGGUCUCCUCCUAAAGAGUAACGGAGGAGCACGAAGGUUGGCUAAUCCUGGUCGGACAUCAGGAGGUUAGUGCAAUGGCAUAAGCCAGCUUGACUGCGAGCGUGACGGCGCGAGCAGGUGCGAAAGCAGGUCAUAGUGAUCCGGUGGUUCUGAAUGGAAGGGCCAUCGCUCAACGGAUAAAAGGUACUCCGGGGAUAACAGGCUGAUACCGCCCAAGAGUUCAUAUCGACGGCGGUGUUUGGCACCUCGAUGUCGGCUCAUCACAUCCUGGGGCUGAAGUAGGUCCCAAGGGUAUGGCUGUUCGCCAUUUAAAGUGGUACGCGAGCUGGGUUUAGAACGUCGUGAGACAGUUCGGUCCCUAUCUGCCGUGGGCGCUGGAGAACUGAGGGGGGCUGCUCCUAGUACGAGAGGACCGGAGUGGACGCAUCACUGGUGUUCGGGUUGUCAUGCCAAUGGCACUGCCCGGUAGCUAAAUGCGGAAGAGAUAAGUGCUGAAAGCAUCUAAGCACGAAACUUGCCCCGAGAUGAGUUCUCCCUGACCCUUUAAGGGUCCUGAAGGAACGUUGAAGACGACGACGUUGAUAGGCCGGGUGUGUAAGCGCAGCGAUGCGUUGAGCUAACCGGUACUAAUGAACCGUGAGGCUUAACCUU
rnacentral:rRNA from 1 species